rnacentral:rRNA from 1 species
GCGAGUGAGCGGCAAAGCUCAAAUUUGAAAUCUGGCACUUUCAGUGUCCGAGUUGUAAUUUGAAGAAGGUAUCUUUGGGUCUGGCUCUUGUCUAUGUUUCUUGGAACAGAACGUCACAGAGGGUGAGAAUCCCGUGCGAUGAGAUGUCCCAGACCUAUGUAAAGUUCCUUCGAAGAGUCGAGUUGUUUGGGAAUGCAGCUCUAAGUGGGUGGUAAAUUCCAUCUAAAGCUAAAUAUUGGCGAGAGACCGAUAGCGAACAAGUACAGUGAUGGAAAGAUGAAAAGAACUUUGAAAAGAGAGUGAAAAAGUACGUGAAAUUGUUGAAAGGGAAGGGCUUGAGAUCAGACUUGGUAUUUUGUAUGUUACUCUCUCGGGGGUGGCCUCUACAGUUUACCGGGCCAGCAUCAGUUUGAGCGGUAGGAUAAGUGCAAAGAAAUGUGGCACUGCUUCGGUAGUGUGUUAUAGUCUUUGUCGAUACUGCCAGCUUAGACUGAGGACUGCGGCUUCGGCCUAGGAUGUUGGCAUAAUGAUCUUAAGUAGCCCGUCUUGAAACACGGGACCUAAAAAA